rnacentral:rRNA from 1 species
AUGGCUCAGGAUGAACGCUAGCGGCAGGCUUAAUACAUGCAAGUCGUGGGGCAGCAUGAGUAGCAAUACUUGAUGGCGACCGGCAAACGGGUGAGGAACACGUACACAACCUCUUCAAGCGGGGAAUAGCCCAGAGAAAUUUGGAUUAAUACCCCAUAAUAUAUUUGAUAAGGCAUCUUAUUAAUAUUAAAGCUUCGGCACUUGAUGAUGGGUGUGCGGCUGAUUAGAUAGUUGGCGGGGUAACGGCCCACCAAGUCUACGAUCAGUAGCUGAUGUGAGAGCAUGAUCAGCCACACGGGCACUGAGACACGGGCCCGACUCCUACGGGAGGCAGCAGUAAGGAAUAUUGGACAAUGGACGAAAGUCUGAUCCAGCCAUGCCGCGUGAAGGAUUAAGGUCCUCUGGAUUGUAAACUUCUUUUAUAUGGGACGAAAAAAGGGCAUUCUUGUUCACUUGACGGUACCAUAUGAAUAAGCACCGGCUAACUCCGUG